GACGAACGCUGGCGGCGUGCUUAACACAUGCAAGUCGAACGAUGAAGCCUAGCUUGCUAGGUGGAUUAGUGGCGAACGGGUGAGUAAUACGUGAGUGACCUACCUUUGACUCUGGGAUAAGCCUGGGAAACUGGGUCUAAUACCGGAUACGACCAAUCUCCGCAUGGGGUGUUGGUGGAAAGCGUUAUGGAGUGGUUUUAGAUGGGCUCACGGCCUAUCAGCUUGUUGGUGAGGUAAUGGCUUACCAAGGCGACGACGGGUAGCCGGCCUGAGAGGGUGACCGGCCACACUGGGACUGAAACACGGCCCAGACUCCUACGGGAGGCAGCAGUGGGGAAUAUUGGGCGAUGGGCGCAAGCCUGAUGCAUCGACCCCGCGUGAGGGAUGACGGCCUUCGGGUUGUAAACCUCUGUUAGCAUCGAAGAACCGAAAGUGACGGUAUGUGCAGAAAAAGCGCCGGCUUAUUACGUGCCACCCACCGCGGUAACUGUUAGGCGCGAGCGUUGUCCGGAAUUUAUGGGCGUUAAUAGCUUGCAUGCGGUUGGUCGCGUCUGCUGUGAAAGGCUGGGGCUUAAUCCUGGUUUUGCAGUGGGUACGGGCUAACUAGAGUGCAGUAGGGGAGACUGGAAUUCCUGGUGUAGCGGUGGAAUGCGCAGAUAUCAGGAGGAACACCGAUGGCGAAGGCAGGUCUCUGGGCUGUAACUGACGCUGAGAAGCGAAAGCAUGGGGAGCGAACAGGAUUAGAUACCCUGGUAGUCCAUGCCGUAAACGUUGGGCACUAGGUGUGGGGGACAUUCCACGUUUUCCGCGCCGUAGCUAACGCAUUAAGUGCCCCGCCUGGGGAGUACGGCCGCAAGGCUAAAACUCAAAGAAAUUGACGGGGGCCCGCACAAGCGGCGGAGCAUGCGGAUUAAUUCGAUGCAACGCGAAGAACCUUACCAAGGCUUGACAUAUACUGGACUGCGUCAGAGAUGGCGUUUCCCUUCGGGGCUGGUAUACAGGUGGUGCAUGGUUGUCGUCAGCUCGUGUCGUGAGAUGUUGGGUUAAGUCCCGCAACGAGCGCAACCCUCGUUCUAUGUUGCCAGCACGUGAUGGUGGGGACUCAUAGGAGACUGCCGGGGUUAACUCGGAGGAAGGUGGGGAUGACGUCAAAUCAUCAUGCUCCUUAUGCCUUGGGCUUCACGCAUGCUACAAUGGCCGGUACAGAGGGUUGCGAUACUGUGAGGUGGAGCUAAUCCCUAAAAGCCGGUCUCAGUUCGGAUUGGGGUCUGCAACUCGACCCCAUGAAGUCGGAGUCGCUAGUAAUCGCAGAUCAGCAACGCUGCGGUGAAUACGUUCCCGGGCCU
rnacentral:rRNA from 1 species